rnacentral:snoRNA from 14 species
UGGCAUUUGUCUUGGAACCUCUGAGAGUCUGACCCGUGACCUCAGCGCCUACUGACAGUGCCAGAGCAGAUGUGGCUUGUUUACAUCCGGGGCUGCUUGGCGGUGCCACCUUAGUGAUUCCUUCAGCAGCAAGCGACAUUU